rnacentral:rRNA from 2 species
GCGACCCCAGGUCAGCGGGACUA